UGAGUCGGGUCCUAAGGCGAGGCCGACAGGCGUAGUCGAAUGGAUGAACGGGUCGAUAUUCCCGUACCGGCUUUCAGCCGCCAAAACCGAGGCUUGGAGUACUAACCUCCGGGUCCGGGCUUACUGCUCCUUCGGGGGCGGGAUGCCUUGGCCUGUUGGGACCGAUCCUUGUAGUAGGUCAGCGCAGGAGUGACGCAGAAGGGUAGCCGGCCGCGGAGGUGGUCUUCCGUGGUCAAGCACGCAGGGCGUGGGACAGGCAAAUCCGUCCCGCAUGGGUCCGAGGUGCGAUGAUGGGGGCCUUAUGGCCCGAUAUCCGGUGAUCCCGGCUGCCGAGAAAAGCUUCGGCGUCAGGCUCAAAGCCGCCCGUACCCCAAACCGACACUGGUGGUCAGGUAGAGAAUACCAAAGCGAUCGAGCGAAUCCUGGUCAAGGAACUCGGCAAAUCACUCCCGUUCCUUCGGUUUAAGGGAGACCCCCGAUGGUGAACACACUUGCUGUGGGAGCUUUUGGGGGUGGCACAGACCAGGGGGUAGCGACUGUUUACCAAAAACACAGGUGCAUGCGAAGGCGCAAGCCGCUGUAUAUGCACUGACGCCUGCCCGGUGCCGGAAGGUUAAGAGGAUCCGUCAGCCUUCGGGUGAAGCGGUGAAUUCAAGCCCCGGUAAACGGCGGUGGUAACUAUAACCAUCCUAAGGUAGCGAAAUUCCUUGUCGGGUAAGUUCCGACCUGCACGAAUGGCGUAACGACUUCCCCACUGUCUCGACCAGGAGCUCGGCGAAAUUGCAGUACGAGUAAAGAUGCUCGUUAAGCGCAGAAGGACGAAAAGACCCCGGGACCUUUACUAUACCUUGGUAUUGGCAUUCGGUGUGGAUUGUGUAGCAUAGGCGGGAGGCCGAGAGGCGCGGUCGCCAGAUCGCGCGGAGCCGUAAGGUGAAAUACCGCUCUGUUCGCAUUGGAUGUCUAACCUCGAACAGUCAUCCUGUUCAGGGACAGUGCCUGGCGGGUAGUUUAACUGGGGCGGUUGCCUCCCAAAGAGUAACGGAGGCGCCCAAAGGUCCGCUCAGCCCGGUUGGCAAUCGGGUGGCGAGUGCAAGUGCACAAGCGGGCUUGACUGCGAGGACGACGGUCCGAGCAGGGACGAAAGUCGGGACUAGUGAUCCGGUGCCGGUGUACGGACGCGGCAUCGCUCAACGGAUAAAAGGUACCCCGGGGAUAACAGGCUGAUCAUUCCCAAGAGUCCAUAUCGACGGGAUGGUUUGGCACCUCGAUGUCGGCUCGUCGCAUCCUGGGGCUGGAGCAGGUCCCAA
rnacentral:rRNA from 1 species